rnacentral:ncRNA from 1 species
CCGAAAGAUAGUGAGCUAUACUUGAUCAGGUUGAAGUCAGGGGAAACCCUGAUGGAAGAACGAAGCAGGUCUGACGUGCAAAUCGAUUGUUAGAAUUGACAAUCAAUUGGUUGGCGAAAGACCAAUCGAACCGUCUAGUAGCUG